UGGGGGAUAUUGCACAAUGGGCGAAAGCCUGAUGCAGCGACGCCGCGUGGGGGAUGAAGGCCUUCGGGUUGUAAACUUCUUUUGCUCUGAACAAGGCAUGCUAAUGGGUGUGUUGAGUGUAGGGGUUGAUUAGCGCCGGCUAACUACGUGCCAGCAGCCGCGGUAAUACGUAGGGCGCGAGCGUUGUCCGGAAUUAUUGGGCGUAAAGGGCUUGUAGGUGGCUGGUUGCGUCUGUCGUGAAAGCUCAUGGCUUAACUGGGGGUUUGCGGUGGGUACGGGCUGGCUUGAGUGCAGUAGGGGAGGCUGGAAUUCCUGGUGUAGCGGUGGAAUGCGCAGAUAUCAGGAGGAAUACCGGUGGCGAAGGCGGGUCUCUGGGCUGUUACUGACACUGAGGAGCGAAAGCAUGGGGAGCGAACAGG
rnacentral:rRNA from 1 species